GACGAACGCUGGCGGCGUGCUUAACACAUGCAAGUCGAACGGAAAGGCCCUGCUUUUGUGGGGUGCUCGAGUGGCGAACGGGUGAGUAAAACGUGAGUAACCUGCCCUUGACUUUGGGAUAACUUCAGGAAACUGGGGCUAAUACCGGAUAGGAGCUACUGCUGCAUGGUGGGGGUUGGAAAGAUUCGGCGGUUGGGGAUGGACUCGCGGCUUAUGAGCUUGUUGGUGGGGUAGUGGCUUACCAAGGCUGUGACGGGUAGCCGGCAUGAGAGGGUGACCGGCCACAUUGGGACUGAGAGACGCCCCAGACGCCUACGUGAGGCAGCAGGGGGGAAUAUUGCACAAUGGGCGGAAGCCUGAUGCAGCAACGCCGCGUGCGUGAUGACGGCCUUCGAGUUAUAAACCGCUGUCUCCGGUGACGUAGCGUGAGUGACGGUAAUGGGUAAAGAAGCACCGGCUAACUACGUG
rnacentral:rRNA from 1 species